GACCUGGUAACGAAGGUCAUCCAUCCGCAUUGAAUUUGCGAUUCCUGAAUCACAUGCGGCGGGAGUCCCUGGUUCGAAUCCGGGCUAGGUCA